CUUCGCAAGUGCAGUCCGGAGGCACCACCGCCGCCGCCGCUCCGAGGAGCCGGGGAGGAGACUCUCUGUCCCCGCGCCUGGACCCAGGAGGACGACGACGAGGAGAAAGCGGUGCGCGCGCGGCUCCCGGGAACCGGCCCUCGGCUAGCGAGUGGCCCCCGGGAUGGCUGAGAAGCAGAACCCGCCCGCCGCCUCGCCAGGGUCAAGCGAAACUCGGUCGUAGGAAGAAAAAUAACGAAGAGAUUGUAGAUUAAGAAAAGGCAACAAAAACACUACCAGGCCGCUAGGAGGACCGCCUCAAAACGCCGCCGGAAGUCAGAGGUUUGUCCUGUUCCUCUACAGGCCCAGGCAGCUUCCGGCCGUCAGAUUAGUCGUCAGUGCGCAGACACCGCCCUCCGUGGACACGCCCUCUAGGCGUAAUGUCCCAUGCGAGGAGUGAGAGUGCGGCGGGGACGUGGAAACAGAAUCCGUACUCUGUGAGAGAUGCUGGGAGAGGAAACUGGGAGCCCGGGAGAACUAAAAUUCCCAAUUAAAGUGAAUUUAAAUCUGAGCUGUUCUUAGACCCAGAAUUUCUUGCCUGAAGGAGAAGUCAGGUCCCCACAGUUGCAGAGUCAAGACCCUGCAACUGUAUAAAAACAGAAUCUGAAAAGAUCGUGACUCCUUUAGUCCUUUCCCAAAGAGACCUAUGGAAAUUUCCUCAGGAAGAGAGACCAAGCAGAAUCCCAGAAGAGUUGAUCUCAAAGCUUAUUUUAUGAAGAAAAUUGACCUGAGUGACACAAAGGGUUGGAUUGUAGUAGAUGUCAUGUUUUGCUGCCUAGAUCUCCAUCCAGGGAUGCACCCUCAUUUCCUCAGCUUCUUCAUUUCCUCAGCUUCUGGGAGGGUUGGCAGCUGCCAUUCUCACGUGAGUCCUUUUCUAGGACUUGCCCUUGCCUGAAGAGAGCUGUGUUGCCCAACAUGAUGCCUCCUCCAAGGUACAAUCCACACCCAGUGAUUAAUAAACAGGCAUGCCUGCUUGCCCCAGUUUGGGACAACUUUACCAAGCCAACCCAGCCUCAAGGCUCUCUGCAGGAACAGGUGAGCCUCAGCCAAUCACAGCAGCCAAGCUACAGCCGCCAAGCUACAGCCAAUCCCAUGUGGCCAACUGAUCAGCCCUUGCCCAGUAAGACAACUGCUCACCUGUAACUACUCAAGCUGCUUCUGGACCUCAUUUCCAUUAGAUGUUUAUAAACGCUGCCUGCCCACCUAGCUGAGCAGAACUCUCUGAACUUCUUGCGUUUU